UAUGGCCAUACCACCCUAAAUGCACCCGAUCUCGUCUGAUCUCCAAAGCUAAGCAGGGUCGGGCCUGGUUACUACUUGGAUGGAAAUGGUUAUGU
rnacentral:rRNA from 1 species